UACUAUGAUGAGAAAAGUAUUAACACAGACCUGUACCGACUUUCGAGAGUGCGGAGAAACAAUAUUGCCUCUACUGAUU
rfam:Cyberlindnera jadinii NRRL Y-1542 unplaced genomic scaffold CYBJAscaffold_3, whole genome shotgun sequence.